AUUAGGGUUCGAUUCCGGAGAGGGAGCCUGAGAAACGGCUACCACAUCCAAGGAAGGCAGCAGGCGCGCAAAUUACCCAAUCCCAAUACGGGGAGGUAGUGACAAUAAAUAACAAUAUGGGGCUCUUACGGGUCUCGUAAUUGGAAUGAGUACAAUUUAAAUCUCUUAACGAGGAACAAUUGGAGGGCAAGUCUGGUGCCAGCAGCCGCGGUAAUUCCAGCUCCAAUAGCGUAUAUUAAAGUUGUUGCAGUUAAAAAGCUCGUAGUUGAAUUUCGGAAUUUGUCGGUUGGUCGGGCUUCACUGUCCGCACUGACCUGAUGAAUUUCUACCUUCUGAAUAACCAGCAUGCUAUUUAGUUAGUGCGUUGGGGAAGCAGAGCUAUUACCUUGAAAAAAUUAGAGUGCUUAAAGCAGGCUUAUGCUUGAAUAGAUUAGCAUGGAAUAAUAAAAUAGGACGGCAUGGUUCUAUUUUGUUGGUUUCUAGGAUCACCGUAAUGAUUAAUAGGGAUAGUUGGGGGCAUUAGUAUUCAAUUGUCAGAGGUGAAAUUCUUGGAUUUAUUGAAGACUAACUUCUGCGAAAGCAUUUGCCAAGGAUGUUUUCAUUAAUCAAGAACGAAAGUUAGGGGAUCGAAGACGAUCAGAUACCGUCGUAGUCUUAACCAUAAACUAUGCCGACUAGGGAUCGGACGAUGUUAAUUUUUUAAUGACUCGUUCGGCGCCUUACGGGAAACC
rnacentral:rRNA from 1 species